GAAUAUUACGCGAAAUUCUGCGUAGGGGGCGCCACUACCACUAUCCGUCCCAAUCUGGGGGUCUACCGCGAAACAAGAAAAUCAAAAUUUCGUUAUCUAACCUUUCUAUCACUCUUGCAUAUUCGAGCGAUAAAGAGGCAGCCGGCCUAGCCAAGGUUACAAUCGCUAUCGCUUCGACAACGAAAAGCAUUAUGUCUCUCUAUCACUCUUCCAUAUUAGUGCGACAGUGACAGUUGCGUUUCGAUCGCUACGGAGCGUAAGCGAUUGGCAUCUUGGCUACGCGGCCAGGCCGCUUUCCUACUCUUGUGGAUAAAACUCAAAUUUCUCAUUCGUUUUUGAACAAUCAAGAGGGCCUUUACCAGCUGGUGUGGUGAAAA